rnacentral:rRNA from 1 species
UACGUAGGGGGCUAGCGUUGUCCGGAUUUAUUGGGCGUAAAGAGCGUGUAGGCGGCCAUGUAGGUCCGGUGUGAAAACUCGAGGCUUAACCUCGAGAUGUCAUCGGAAACCAUUUGGCUAGAGUCCGGAAGAGGAGAGUGGAAUUCCUGGUGUAGCGGUGGAAUGCGCAGAUAUCAGGAGGAACACCAAUAGCGAAGGCAGCUCGCUGGGACGUUACUGACACUGAGGCGCGAAAGCGUGGGGAGCGAACAGG